CACAAAACUCACCGCUGUUGUUUCAGCGAUAUUUCUGAUUUGCAUGAAGAUACAGGCUAUGUUCAAACGCUUACACAAUCACAGAGCUAAGUCCUGCUGCACUGUGCUGUCAAUCACAUGCUAGAGAGCAGAGCCAUUAUGGCCGCAUGUCAUUUAUCACUAGCUACAGGGGACAAGCCAGGCUCAUUACUGUGUGUGCUGGGGAGCCCCCAGGCUCAGUAUGACGCAGCAGCAGCCCUGCAGCCCUGCAACCCACAAGCUUAAUUAAAGGAGCUGGUGGAUUCCACACUAAUAGCAACAUAACAUCGACUUUUCUUCAUACAAAUCCAUGCAGAGGACCUGUGAUCCUCCCUCGGUCCAGAUGAGUGCUUGAAUCACACACAGGACGUUUUCCAUUAGCCGUUUCUAUGUGUUUGUGUUUGUGUUGUUGUUACCGGUGGUAGAAGGUUCACCCUGUUGAUGUUUUUGUUUAUACUGAUAAAAUCUUGUGAGGCAGCAUGAAAUUAAACCGCAAAAUAUUAAACGUAACAGUGAAACUCUGUUGAAAAUGAUUUCUGUUGUCCUCCAGCAUUUAAUUUAAACAGAACAGAGAGGAGACACAAAGAGACAAAUAUACAGACAGAUGGGAUAAGGUCAAGUGUCUUUAAAAUAAAUAUAGACACACACACAUUCACGCUGACAGACAUGAAAGCAGUGGUCUGCAGUCUAAAUCGGCGCUUUCCAUCCACACAAGGUAUUCUGGUGUUACUUAACAUUUUUAAAUUGAAUCGUAGCCUAAUAUUUUCUCAAAUCAAACUGAUAUUCAUCAAAACAAAUCAACCUGACAGUCAGAUCUUAACUUUUGGUCUCACCUCGUGUGGAACCAUAUGUUUUAAAUUGUCAGAUAUUGAGAGUAAUGACACUUUAUGUAGAAAAAAAAAAUACUCUUUAUGAGGUUUGAUACUCAGCCAGCAAUUUGCAGAAAGAGUUUCUCCAGCUGAAUGUAUGGUUCUUUGUACCACCUUAGCGUCUUAUUUAUUUAAGAAACCACUUUACACUACAGUCCGUACAUAUGAGUUUUUAUAUUUUGCAUUAAUCACGCACUUCUCACAACUACUGCUAUGUUUGUUCAAUUUUUAGGUCAGGAAGGGGGAUGCAAGUAAAGCAACGCAAUUCAUCUCGCUGUCAGCUCGACCAGACUACAGAUCAUUAAGCUGAAUCUCCUUCAGACGCCUCGAUCCAGUCCAUAGUCUACAUAGGGACAGAGCGACCGAGGAGUGUGCUGUCAACCAGUUAGUCAGCCACCCACUCAGAUUUAGAGGAACCACAAGGAACCAGGAACCGUCUGCAUGUCUCCCCGAGCAUCACUGAAAUAGAAAAAGAAGAGCACUGCUGUGUAUCCGACACACUGAAAGGAGGUUUGGAGCCAAGACGUUGACGAGCUGAUGUGACAGGACAGUGUCAAGUACAAAACAACAAUCCAGCAGCCGUGGCCUAGAGGUUGGAGAAGCGGCUUGUGA